rnacentral:rRNA from 1 species
AAGCAGCUUGCUGCUUUGCUGACGAGUGGCGGACGGGUGAGUAAUGUCUGGGAAACUGCCUGAUGGAGGGGGAUAACUACUGGAAACGGUAGCUAAUACCGCAUAACGUCGCAAGACCAAAGAGGGGGACCUUAGGGCCUCUUGCCAUCGGAUGUGCCCAGAUGGGAUUAGCUAGUAGGUGGGGUAAAGGCUCACCUAGGCGACGAUCCCUAGCUGGUCUGAGAGGAUGACCAGCCACACUGGAACUGAGACACGGUCCAGACUCCUACGGGAGGCAGCAGUGGGGAAUAUUGCACAAUGGGCGCAAGCCUGAUGCAGCCAUGCCGCGUGUAUGAAGAAGGCCUUCGGGUUGUAAAGUACUUUCAGCGGGGAGGAAGGGAGUAAAGUUAAUACCUUUGCUCAUUGACGUUACCCGCAGAAGAAGCACCGGCUAACUCCGUGCCAGCAGCCGCGGUAAUACGGAGGGUGCAAGCGUUAAUCGGAAUUACUGGGCGUAAAGCGCACGCAGGCGGUUUGUUAAGUCAGAUGUGAAAUCCCCGGGCUCAACCUGGGAACUGCAUCUGAUACUGGCAAGCUUGAGUCUCGUAGAGGGGGGUAGAAUUCCAGGUGUAGCGGUGAAAUGCGUAGAGAUCUGGAGGAAUACCGGUGGCGAAGGCGGCCCCCUGGACGAAGACUGACGCUCAGGUGCGAAAGCGUGGGGAGCAAACAGGAUUAGAUACCCUGGUAGUCCACGCCGUAAACGAUGUCGACUUGGAGGUUGUGCCCUUGAGGCGUGGCUUCCGGAGCUAACGCGUUAAGUCGACCGCCUGGGGAGUACGGCCGCAAGGUUAAAACUCAAAUGAAUUGACGGGGGCCCGCACAAGCGGUGGAGCAUGUGGUUUAAUUCGAUGCAACGCGAAGAACCUUACCUGGUCUUGACAUCCACGGAAGUUUUCAGAGAUGAGAAUGUGCCUUCGGGAACCGUGAGACAGGUGCUGCAUGGCUGUCGUCAGCUCGUGUUGUGAAAUGUUGGGUUAAGUCCCGCAACGAGCGCAACCCUUAUCCUUUGUUGCCAGCGGUCCGGCCGGGAACUCAAAGGAGACUGCCAGUGAUAAACUGGAGGAAGGUGGGGAUGACGUCAAGUCAUCAUGGCCCUUACGACCAGGGCUACACACGUGCUACAAUGGCGCAUACAAAGAGAAGCGACCUCGCGAGAGCAAGCGGACCUCAUAAAGUGCGUCGUAGUCCGGAUUGGAGUCUGCAACUCGACUCCAUGAAGUCGGAAUCGCUAGUAAUCGUGGAUCAGAAUGCCACGGUGAAUACGUUCCCGGGCCUUGUACACACCGCCCGUCACACCAUGGGAGUGGGUUGCAAAAGAAGUAGGUAGCUUAACCUUCGGGAGGGCGCUUACCACUUUGUGAUUCAUGACUGGGGUGAAGUCGUAACAAGGUAACCGUAGGGGAACCUGCGGUUGGAUCACCUCCUUA